CCUACGGGAGGCUGCAGUGGGGAAUAUUGCACAAUGGGGGCAACCCUGAUGCAGCGACGCCGCGUGAAUGAGGAAGUAUUUCGGUAUGUAAAGCUCUAUCAGCAGGGAAGAAAAUGACGGUACCUGUCUAAGAAGCCCUGGCUAACUACGUGCCAGCAGCCGCGGUAAUACGUAGGGGGCAAGCGUUAGCCGGAUUUACUGGGUGUAAAGGGAGCGUAGACGGUUAAUCAAGUCAGAAGUGAAAACCCAGGGCUCAACCUUGGGACUGCAUUUGAAACUGGGUAGCUAGAGUGCAGGAGAGGUAGGCGGAAUUCCUAGUGUAGCGGUGAAAUGCGUAGAUAUUAGGAGGAACACCGAUGGCGAAGGCAGCUUACUGGACUGUAACUGACGUUGAUGCUCGAAAGCGUGGGGAGCAAACAGGAUUAGAUACCCGAGUAGUC
rnacentral:rRNA from 1 species